rnacentral:rRNA from 1 species
GACGAACGCUGGCGGCGUGCUUAACACAUGCAAGUCGAACGGUAAGGCCCUUCGGGGUACACGAGUGGCGAACGGGUGAGUAACACGUGGGUGAUCUGCCCUGCACUUCGGGAUAAGCCUGGGAAACUGGGUCUAAUACCGGAUAGGACCCUGGGAUGCAUGUCCUGGGGUGGAAAGCUUUUGCGGUGUGGGAUGGGGCCGCGGCCUAUCGGCUUGUUGGUGGGGUGAUGGGCUAGCUAGGCGACGAAGGGUAGGCGGGCUGAGAGGGUGACCGGCCACGCUAGGACUGGGAUACGGCCCAGACUCCUACGGGCGGCAGAGGUGGGGAAUAUUGCACAAGGGGCGCAAGCAUGAUGCAGCGAAGCCGCGUGGGGGAUGACGGCCUUCGGGUUGUAAACCUCUUUCAGCACCGACGAAGCGCAAGUGGCGGUAGGUGCAGAAGAAGGACCGGCCAACUACGUGCCAGCCGCCGCCGUAA